CUUGGACGAAGCUCCUAGAGUUGGACAUCAGCCUCAAACCUCUCUAAUUUGCCCUUGCUUCCAUCCAGAGACCACACCUCCUUCCUCCCCAUUGCUCGGUGUAACCACCGAGGUCUGAUCUUGGCCUUCUUGAUUUGUGGGUGCUUAGAAACCUCACUCAGGUGAGCCACAAGGUCCCGGCUGAACCACGCCGUUGAGCAGAGCCUGCUCUUGGCAGCACACGCCUGCAGUGGUGGCCAUCUCCCCAGUGGCACAGCCGUCCUCAUGACUAGCUCCACAGUCUGGGGCCACUCUCCUUCGGCUGCCCCCUCGAGGACUCGCUGGCGAGCCUUCCUCCAAGGGGCAGGUACCAGACAGGUUGCCUUUUGCCUGGUCUCAGCGCCCAGCCAAGACGGUGCUUACCCUGCCCCGCUCUGCAUGAUGAAACGCCCAAAUACCACAUCUUCCCUUGCCUGGUCCACAGCCUGCAGUGAAAGCAGUUACAAGACACAAGUGGUUUCAGCAAAAGCGGAGAGCUGACAGGAUGGCAUUGUCUUCAAUUUUUGUCUAGAGACUUUGAAGCAGUGGUGCCUGCUUGGGGUCAGCUUUCCAGGGCUGUGAGCCAAAAGCAAGAUGUGCCAGGAUGCACGUCACCAAAAUCCUGAGAUGGAAGAGGAGACCAAGGUAACAAGCUUCCCGGCUUGAGAACUGACCUCAGCUGAGCAGAAAAAUGCUGUGGUCAGGCAUCAGGAUCACAACAGGCAGCACACCCUUUCUGGACCACUUCUGCACAUGAGGCUGGCUCUCUUCUUCUACAGGGUAGGAAGCAACCAUCAUGAGAAUAAGUGAAAAAACAUCCAGACCUCCAGACCAUAAACCUUGUUGCUCUUCCUCUCCAUUUCUGUCAAGAUUAAUUAGUCUGGAAGCUAUAACUCCUGCGAGGUAGCACAUCCCAGCUUGGGGAUGGGGAGAUGGCACUGGGGAUAUGCAUCUGAGAGUCUCUUUGCCCAGAACUGUGCACUGGGCUUCUUACUUUCAACCUUUCCCAGAUACUUUUCAUGGAAAUGGAUACCAACUUGUUUCUGCAAACUGAAGAAAAGCAGAUGUUUGCCUUCUGUGUGUUUUGAGCCAGGGCUUGUGUAGGGCAGAUAAGAUGGGGUGAGUGAUUUAGUGACAGAGGAGACAUACUAGACAUUUGCCAAGGAUACAACCACCUCUUUCCAAGGCCCUCUCUCCAACCAGAGUGAGGAGGAAGUGGGUCCCAGUGUGUCAGCCCCAAGGCCAGAAGCCUUCUGCCCAAGAAAGGGCUCCUGCUGCACCCUCAGUGCUGCCAAGCCCUCC